rnacentral:tRNA from 2 species
AUAGCUCAGCUGGAUAGAGCACUUGGCUACGAACUAAGGGGUCGGGAGUUCGAAUCUCUCU